rnacentral:rRNA from 1 species
CCUACGUGAGGCAGCAGUGGGGAAUUUUGGACAAUGGGCGCAAGCCUGAUCCAGCAAUGCCGCGUGAGUGAAGAAGGCCUUCGGGUUGUAAAGCUCUUUUGUGGAACGCGCGGUACCUGAAGAAUAAGCACCGGCUAACUACGUGCCAGCAGCCGCGGUAAUACGUAGGGUGCAAGCGUUAAUCGGAAUUACUGGGCGUAAAGCGUGCGCAGGCGGUUUUGCAAGUUUGUCGUGAAAUCCCCGGGCUCAACCUGGGAAUGGCGAUGAAGACUGCAAGGCUAGAGUUUGGCAGAGGGGGGUAGAAUUCCACGUGUAGCAGUGAAAUGCGUAGAUAUGUGGAGGAACACCGAUGGCGAAGGCAGCCCCCUGGGUCAACUGACGCUCAUGCACGAAAGCGUGGGGAGCAAACAGGAUUAGAUACCCUUGUAGUC